UAGGAACUAGCUCGGUAUGCCCGACAGCAUACAAGAGGAGCUCACCUUGCGCGUGGAUAAUUUGGUCCGCCCUCGCGGGUUUGAGCCCGGCUUGCUGGAGGCCUGUAUAGCUGGCAUCCUUCAGGUCAUCCAGCGUAGCGUAGCCACCCUCCAAUAGCAGGCGCAGGUCUGCGUCGGUGAACCUGCCAGCUCUUGCAGGCCCGAGCAGGCUCUCCAAAGCCGCCCGCAGGCCGACCAAAGCCAUAUCCUAGGGCCAACCCCAAGUGCGUUACUAUACAGGGAUUCGCAAAGUCUUUUGGAUAUUUUGAGUGCAAAGUAGUUGGGUAUGAACAGUCGCGCGCUCCCAUCCGGCGGUGCACGAUUCGGGCUUUCGCGAAACCGAACGCCCCUCCCCCGCAACGCCCCUCCCCCUGCUGCUUGGCGGAAGGUUGUAAAUACCAGCCCAAAAUAAACCAAAACCAACGAAAACGGGAGUGCAGGCAGAGGCGUUAGUUGCGAGCGAUAAUACUUGUGGGAUGUGGGCCGAGGCGUCGCGGAGCGGGGGGGAGGGAAACCCUUCCCCUACACCCUCUCCCUGUGCAGCUCGGAGUGCGGUGGGGAGUGGGGACUGGGGAGCCCUGUGGCUAAUAGCUGGGCUCAAGCUAGCGAUGGGUUAUCAGAUGGCACCGGCUUGCUCCGCCUGGCGCGUCGUCUAGGGACUCACACAGUCCUAUGGACGUGCCGGUCGCGACCACGGAGUACACCCGUGGGCUCGGCCAUAGCUUUAACGGGAUUAUGCAGCUGUUGGGCCGGCAUCAUCGACGCGGGGGUAGCGGUUUGCUGCAUUCCUCCUUCCCAUGUAUCUGUGAUGGUCUUUACCCUGUUCCCCUCUUGCACUUCCUGCUCUGGCUAGAAUGCGAAUGGCGAGAUUAACUCUCCCGCAACAAGCUGCCGCACCAGUAUGCAAAAAGGCGCCACAUGUUAUCCACAGGCGGAGCGGGCCGCAGAGCCACCGCGGCAGCCGCUACAAUACAAUGCCACACAUGCUGCCCCACCACGCCACCACAUGCCCGCAGCUCCCCCAUUUCUCCCUACUUUCGCCAAAUUCUCAAUCGCAGCCCUACUCCGCGAGUAGCCCCACCAGCUUGCAAGAUGAACGGCAUCAUGCUAGGACAACCCAUCAAACCCAGGAGCAUUAUUAUGCAGUCGUGUGUUAACGGCACUCUGCAGCUAGCUUCAGUCCCUAUCACCAUCUUCCUGUUGACUACGCGACCUAGCCACUCCUUCCUGUAAUACUGGUUUCUCUCUCUCCCAACACAAAUGCACCGUGUUUACUACGCUAUUUGCGCAUCCUCGCCUUGAAGCAGCCGUAACGCACACAAAAGAUAGAGUAAGGUGCGUCUGUCCCACCCGGCCGCCGCGCCAGCUCAUAUCUGCCCAGCAAGCGGAGCAAAGCUGCCGCCGCCUGUCCGCCAUAUCGUACACAAAUGCGCUACUACAGCAUCUACACUCCCAACGAAUGCCGUGGGGGUGCAGUGCCUUCAAAAUGAAUAUCUCUCCAGCGCAUCCACACCCGGCAAAAACACACAGACGCACGUGCAUGGUGAUGCUACCCGCUCUGCGUUCUGCUGUCAUGGCGCCGUAAGAUGCAUUUUGACUUGCGUGUCGUUCGCAUGCCAGCACUCGGUUGCAUGCACUCGCAUGCCAGCACUCAUUUGUGUGCACACAGUGCGGUGGCAACAAUACAAGCGUGUACACUAGUUCAUCAGUUAAUCUUGCGCAUUACACUCGUGUCAGCUAGCUGCAUGUCAUCCAGGAGACUGCCGCCGCCAUGGCCACCGCUAUAACGUAGUGCAUGGCCAGCGGCACCGGAUCCGCCCAGAGGCCAGGCGGGCAGCCGCAUGCACAAAGAUGGCGGCCAGAAGGCCACAGCCCCCCCUCCGCAAUCCACACCAGGCCACACCGCACCCACCGCACCCGGGGCCGCUGCUGCUGUUGCUGCGUGCCCCUGCAGCAGCCAUCCAGCUGGCACCCUGACUGCUCCAGCAGCAGCCCGCUGAACGCGAACAGGUGCACCUGCAGCGUCGUGUUCAUGAUGAUGCCACACCCCAGCAGCCACCACUGCAACCUACCAGUGCGCGGCGCCCCGCCGGUCUUACUCCACCAAUGGCAUGCAUGGCGGCCCGCUGAAGGCAUCCAGGAGGAUGCUGGCCCGUUCCCUGACCGGCACCAGGACGACGGCCACCAGGUAGCAAGGGCCGACUCCUGUUGAUUUUUUGGGGGGGCGUGCAUUGGGAUGUAAGCGCCACCCCUGACAGCAGGCAGACGAGGACGCGCAUGCAUACUGGAGUGCUUGGUGCGUGGCGGGCUGGAUGGCAUUGGCAUCACACCAGUGGUUGGAGGUGGUCGGCAACUAUCCACCAACGUGCCGGCAGCCAACACAUGAGCUCUGGUGCCCAAUGUCUCAUGCAUGCCGAAACGUUGGACACCCAACAGGACACACCACCACAAGCCACACCGAGCAAGAACGUUACGUUCACAGUAGCCAGGCAGUCAACAACCGUGUCCCGAUGUUGCCGAUUGCACUGCUGUACUGUCCGCAUGUCACUUUGCCCCACAAUAACCCAGCGCCCUGGCAUUUGUGCUCCCCACCCCACCCUGUACACAGCACACAGCCCCAAGACCUGGCAUCCAGCUACUCACCCUGCUAGUCGCUCUGCUGAUGCAAGCACCUACAUGUGCGGGCAGUGGGAGCCAUCAGCGUUGCCACAUAAAACAUGGAAAACGAUACAAGCCAUCCCGCAUCGGUUGUGUCGCCCGUAUCUCGUGCCCGUAUCUCACCCCGAAACUACGAAUACAAAGGCAGCGACAGGGGCAGGGAUGGGGCGGGGGUCCGGGCCUCCUCGGGCGGUUGAGCGAAGUCUGCAGCUCGCAUCCACGAGCUGACCAGCUCCAGCUCCGCCGACUCGUGCUCCUCUGGCGGCAUGAAGGGCAGCUAGUACUCCUGCUGCUCCUGCAGCGCGGCCUCGCCGCCAAACGUGGGGCUAAGGACCUGCUGCACGUGGCGCAUGGUCCGCUGCUCCUCCUCGGGGAUUUGGUGCAGCUGCAGGUUGAGGCCCGCCCGCACGCUGCCCGCCGCCCGCAGGUGCUGCGCCUGCAAGUAGUACGCCUGCACAGUAGAGCAUCCAUGACACGCGGCGGUAGCACACUGCUAAAUGGAUAUUGUUUUGAAAAGAAUGUGUAAGCUAUGUACCUACCUGUGUCGGCGUCAGAUUAUCCCACACGAGCAAGUACUUGUUGCGUAUCGUGUAGACGUUGUGCUUCCGGCCAUCCGUCAGGUCCAAAAGCACCGGGCAGCGGCCCCAGGCAUAUGCCCCCAGCAGCUCCACGACCGCUUGGCGUUUGCGGGGUGCCUGUCAGUCCGGAAAUCCGCAUACCAGACUGUCUUUUGUCCCAACGUGCCUAACGCUUCAUACGCACAAGUAAGUACCCUUCUACUCGCGGACCAUUAGAUGCACCCAUACGCCGUACGGCGGCCGGACACACCUGGAUGGCAGCAUGAAUGCAUAGUGGGAACUGCGCUCACCCAUGCAGCGCUCACCUUAAUGUUGAGCUCGUGCUCAUAGAUGAUCCGAAGUUGGUGCACAAGACUCCGCUCCGUCAGGCCGUACGGGGCGACGCAGCCGUCAAAGCCGCCGUUGAAGGACUUCUCACCACAUGUGAACCCCAAGAGCUUGCCCUUGCUGUGGUUAUCGUACAUCUCAAAACCGCCCAGCUUGUCAAACACGACGCCAAGCUUCAUCAACUGCUGCUGGUGGUGCUGAAGGAGCGCUGGCGUCAUGGCAUCCUCACUGCGGCCCUCCUGUUGCACAAAGCUGGCACAUUCUGGUGUGCCUUCCGGCACCUGCACCUCCUGCGGCGCCACCACCUCGCCACGGACCUCCACCAGCUUGACACUCCUUAUGAGGGUGUCCACGUCCUGGCUGCCCACUGAGGAGAAGGACUGAGGCUUGCGCGCACGCCACUGCUUCGCCUCCAUCUCAAGCCACGUCUCCCGGAUUGCCGCACGUACAAGUUCGCGCAGCGACUCUGUCCAAGGGAGCACACGACAGCAUUUAUCAGGGACACGUCAGCACGAGCCUUCAAUCAAUAGCACCCAAGCCCACGCGCACGCACUCAGCAGACAUGCCGCCGGUCUGGGAGGGAUGUUUGAGGUCUGGAGGGACGUUUCAAAGGGCACGGUACUUUGACAAAGUUCGCAUGUAGAAUAUAAUCCAGAAUUUGGCAGAAUUUUUACCCGCGGCUAACGCGACCGUGUCUAUGAUACGUCGCCACCUAUCCCGUAGCUGGGGUGGGGUCGUAUGGGGGUGCGUUCAAGUAUGGGGGUGCGUUCAAGUAUGCUUGGCACGGUCGGACACAACAGUUAUCGGGCCGACCUACACAAUAGCAGAAAGUGGUUAGCUACUGAUUAAAGGCAUCGACAACCCGAAAGACUUGUUUGCGGGCUGAUGGAAGAUGUCGCAGCCGAGAUGCCUGACAAAGCUUGACACGCAUAUCGCCCGUACUUGAGUUAUUGUUGAUCUCUAUUGUCUGUCAUACAGGUCCUGAAGGCUUGACGCGACUUUCGCCCUAUGCAAUACCCGUCUGUUUGGAGCGAUAUACGAAGUAGUAGUAACGCGUGCUCAGUCACCGCCCCCGACCACUUUCCGCGGCCAUGAACACUCACCGGCGCCUGCCUGCUCCGUGCUCCCCCCGGCGCUACCGAGCGUAGGGCCACCGGCUACACCUGAAAUGAGGGAGGGCGGCAAAGGUGGCACGCAGAGGUCGUCACCUGAAGGCAGCUGCAGUUGCUGUGACGCGCAUCAUUUGGGCUGUUGACACGACGACCAGCACAGUGACAGCAGAAAUGACGUGCCCUUAGUCCCAAGCACUUGACCGGGUGUAGGCUGUCCCGCCUGCCUGCUGGCCGCCCCUUGGCGCCACGCCUGGCACGCUGCUAGUGUUUCCACCAAGAACCCACUCGCACCGAUACCCGAUGGCCCCACUCUAUUGCCGCCGAUUCCCAACAAAACGUGUGCCAAACCCCACCCUACGGCCUCGUGGAAAUGCUCACCAGCAGCAGCCGGCAGCGAGUCUGCAGGAGCAGGCAGAACGGAUCCCAGUGAGACUGUAGCUUCAAGUUUGCGGGCAAACAACUGCCCCGAUACGCUUGGGUCCAUUAAGCACAGUCACUGGUCAUUCAAGCAAUCAGUCGCCAUUGGGACCCGCACAGCUGUUCCCCCAGCGGCAGAGGUAGCUCCCCGCUGGCCAAUGGCCAGCCUAUGCAUGAGCCUAAGCCGCCGCAUGAUGCUAAAGUUGGUGUUUUUGCUCAGGUCAAAGUCGCCCAAUGAAAACUCACCGACUCCUGCCGCACUCCCCACGCCCAGGCCAGCCGCCGAGGCUGCACGACAUACGAGCGGUCGGGGGACACACGCAUACCAUGAGUUGCACGUCCAAGUUUGCAGACGCGACGCGCGGAAACGCGAAGCGCGCUUGCGUUACGCUGCCAAUUAUGCCGUCCUGGUCCCGACGUGCAUGUCGCUGCACGUCUGACGCGCACCAGCUCUCCCAACCACCCAGGGACGCUUCCCAAGCUUCCCGCAUACCGUAGCGCGCAACAAUAGCCCCAACAUGCGUUUCGGAUAUUCAUCGGUUGGUUGGUCAGUCGGACACGCCCAGCUGUGCCCACAGCGGCGAAAGUAGACUCCCGCGAACGGCAACAUCACCAGCUCGAAUGCUCAUCCGGCUGAUGCCUGUGGCCUACCUUACUAGGUAGACCCGCAGCAUGCUGCAUGCAUGCAUAAGAGGACCUCACCUUGCGCGUGGAUAAUUUGGUCCGCCCGCGCGGGUUUGAGCCCGGCUUGCUGGAGGCCUGUAUAGCUGGCAUCCUUCAGGUCAUCCAGCGUAGCGUAGCCACCCUCCAAUAGCAGGCGCAGGUCUGCGUCGGUGAACCUGCCAGCUCUUGCAGGCCCGAGCAGGCUCUCCAAAGCCGCCCGCAGGCCGACCAAAGCCAUAUCCUAGGGCCAACCCCAAGUACGUUACUAUACAGGGAUUCGCAAAGUCUUUUGGAUAUUUUGAGUGCAAAGUUGGGUAUGAACAGUCGCGCGCUCCCAUCCGGCGGUGCACGGAUUCGGGCUUUCGCGAAACCGAACGCCCCUCCCCCGCAACGCCCCUCCCCCUGCUGCUUGGCGGAGGGUUGUAAAUACCAGCCCAAACUAAACCAACCAAAACCAACGAAAACGGGAGUGCAGGCAGAGGCGUUAGUUGCGAGCGAUAAUACUUGUGGGAUGUGGGCCGAGGCGUCGCGGAGCGGGGGGGAGGGAAACCCUUCCCCCUACACCCUCUCCCUGUGCAGCUCGGAGUGCG
rnacentral:lncRNA from 1 species